GAUGAAGAACGUAGCGAAAUGCGAUAAGUAAUGUGAAUUGCAGAAUUCAGUGAAUCAUCGAAUCUUUGAACGCACCUUGCGCUCCUUGGUAUUCCGAGGAGCAUGCCUGUUUGAGUGUCAUGAAACCCUCAAACCCAAGUUUUGGAUUUCGAUCCAUGCUUGAGUUUGGAUUUGGAUGUUUGCCGGUGAUGAACCGACUCAUCUUAAAAGUAUUAGCUUGGAUCUGUCUAUAUGACUGGUUUGACUUGGCAUAAUAAGUAUUUUGCUGAGGACAUCUUCGGAUGGCCAGGACCUAGACUACUGUCUGCUAACUAAACCAUCACUUUAAGUGCAUCUUUGGAUGUUACUCAUUGUGUAACUUUGACAUCUGGCCUCAAAUCAAGUAGGACUACCCGCUGAACUUAAGCAUAUCAAUAAGCGGAGGA
rnacentral:misc_RNA from 1 species